CGCGCGCAGGUGGUUCCUUAAGUCUGAUGUGAAAGCCCACGGCUCAACCGUGGAGGGUCAUUGGAAACUGGGGAACUUGAGUGCAGAAGAGGAAAGUGGAAUUCCAAGUGUAGCGGUGAAAUGCGUAGAGAUUUGGAGGAACACCAGUGGCGAAGGCGACUUUCUGGUCUGUAACUGACACUGAGGCGCGAAAGCGUGGGGAGCAAACAGGAUUAGAUACCCUGGUAGUCCACGCCGUAAACGAUGAGUGCUAAGUGUUAGAGGGUUUCCGCCCUUUAGUGCUGCAGCUAACGCAUUAAGCACUCCGCCUGGGGAGUACGGCCGCAAGGCUGAAACUCAAG
rnacentral:rRNA from 1 species